GCACUGCCUUUGACCAGGGUCCAUAUGGGGGAUAGAUAAUAGGGUGUCAUUUGGGACACAUUCCUUGUAUAUAUUCUAUAGUACUACAUUAUUGUGGGUAGCUGAGCUGUAGAGUAGAGGGCAUCUUCUGGAGUGUCUUUAGAGAGGUGCACAGCAGGGUAUCUAGUAGAUUCUACAGUAUCUUUGGGUAGCUGGGCUGCAGAGUAGAUGGCAUCUUCUGGAGUGUCUUUAGAGAGGUGCACAGCAGGGUAUCUUGUAGAUUCUACAGUAUCUUUGGGUAGCUGGGCUGUAGAAUAGAUGGAAUCAUCCUGGUUUCCACUGGCUGUUGGAGGACAUGAAGAGACUCUAGAAUCUGUAGGUAGAUCCACACUGGAGUAGAUGAGAGAAGCUGGUUGAUCUGCAGUAGAAUAUGGAUUUAUAUCAUCUUUGGGAAGUCAACAGUAGAAUAACAUGGCAGGUUAGGAUAAUUAACGUGGGAGGUUAGUAGAAAUAAAAUAGCAGGUUAGGAAAAUGUACAUUGCCAUUCAGGAUAACGUGACAGGUUAGGAAAAUCAGGUUAAGGUUAGGAAAAGAGUUAGGGUUAGCUAAAAUACUACAAGGAAGCAGCAAGCAGCCACUCAAAUAGACAUUAAGUGGCCAACAAACUGCCCAAUUAGCUGGGCAGUUUGUUGUUUAGCUGUUUUCCAUAGACCCAUUGAUGUUGCUCUUCCCACUUAUGUGUCAACGCCCACUUUCAAACACACUCCACCUAUGCAGUUACACAUGAAUCUGUGGAAGACCUGUGGCAGAGCUAGCAGGGUAGGUUGUAGAGGCUCGGCCAGCAGGGUAGGUUGUAGAGGCUUGGCCAGCAGGGUAGGUUGUAGAGGCUUGGCCAGCAGGGUAGGUUGUAGAGGCUUGGCCAGCAGGGUAGGUUGUAGAGGCUUGGCCAGCAGGGUAGGUUGUAGAGGCUUGGCCAGCAGGGUAGGUUGUAGAGGCUUGGCCAGCAGGGUAGGUUGUAGAGGCUUGGUCAGCAGGGUAGGUUGUAGAGGCUUGGCCAGCAGGGUAGGUUGUAGAGGCUUGGCCAGCAGGGUAGGUUGUAGAGGCUUGGCCAGCAGGGUAGGUUGUAGAGGCUUGGCCAGCAGGGUAGGUUGUAGAGGCUUGGCCAGCAGGGUAGGUUGUAGAGGCUUGGCCAGCAGGGUAGGUUGUAGAGGCUUGGCCAGCAGGGUAGGUUGUAGAGGCUUGGCCAGCAGGGUAGGUUGUAGAGGCUUGGCCAGCAGGGUAGGUUAGAGAGGCUUGGCCAGCAGGGUAGAUUGUAGAGG